CGCCUGGGGAGUGCGGCCGCAAGGUUAAAACUCAAAUGAAUUGACGGGGGCCCGCACAAGCGGUGGAGCAUGUGGUUUAAUUCGACGCAACGCGAAGAACCUUACCUGGCCUUGACAUGCAGAGAACUUUCCAGAGAUGGAUUGGUGCCUUCGGGAACUCUGACACAGGUGCUGCAUGGCCGUCGCCAGCUCGUGUCGUGAGAUGUUGGGUUAAGUCCCGUAACGAGCGCAACCCCUAUCCCUAGUUGCUAGCAGUUCGGCUGAGAACUCUAGGGAGACUGCCGGUGACAAACCGGAGGAAGGUGGGGAUGACGUCAGGUCAUCAUGGCCCUUACGGCCAGGGCUACACACGUGCUACAAUGGCGCGCACAGAGGGCUGCAAACCCGCGAGGGGGAGCCAAUCUCACAAAACGCGUCGUAGUCCGGAUCGCAGUCUGCAACUCGACUGCGUGAAGUCGGAAUCGCUAGUAAUCGUGAAUCAGAAUGUCACGGUGAAUACGUUCCCGGGCCUUGUACACACCGCCCGUCACACCAUGGGAGUGGAUUGCACCAGAAGUGGUUAGUCUAACCUUCGGGAGGACGAUCACCACGGUGUGGUUCAUGACUGGGGUGAAGUCGUAACAAGGUAACCGUA
rnacentral:rRNA from 1 species